AUUGAACGCUGGCGGCAGGCCUAACACAUGCAAGUCGAGCGGGGUUUUCGGACCUAGCGGCGGACGGGUGAGUAAUGCGUAGGAAGCUGCCCGAUAGAGGGGGAUACCAGUUGGAAACGACUGUUAAUACCGCAUAAUGUCUACGGACCAAAGUGUGGGACCUUCGGGCCACAUGCUAUCGGAUGCGCCUACGUGGGAUUAGCUAGUUGGUGAGGUAAUGGCUCACCCAGGCGACGAUCUCUAGCUGGUUUGAGAGGAUGAUCAGCCACACUGGAGCUGAGACACGGUCCAGACUCCUACGGGAGGCAGCAGUGGGGAAUAUUGGACAAUGGGCGCAAGCCUGAUCCAGCCAUGCCGCGUGUGUGAAGAAGGCCUUCGGGUUGUAAAGCACUUUCAGCGAGGAGGAAGGGGUGUGUGUUAAUAGUAUACGCCUUUGACGUUACUCGCAGAAGAAGCACCGGCUAACUCUGUGCCAGCAGCCGCCGUAAAAC
rnacentral:rRNA from 1 species